rnacentral:rRNA from 1 species
UGAACGCUGGCGGCAGGCCUAACACAUGCAAGUCGAACGGUAACAGGCAGCAGCUUGCUGCUUUGCUGACGAGUGGCGGACGGGUGAGUAAUGUCUGGGAAACUGCCCGAUGGAGGGGGAUAACUACUGGAAACGGUAGCUAAUACCGCAUAACGUCGCAAGACCAAAGAGGGGGACCUUAGGGCCUCUUGCCAUCGGAUGUGCCCAGAUGGGAUUAGCUAGUAGGUGGGGUAACGGCUCACCUAGGCGACGAUCCCUAGCUGGUCUGAGAGGAUGACCAGCCACACUGGAACUGAGACACGGUCCAGACUCCUACGGGAGGCAGCAGUGGGGAAUAUUGCACAAUGGGCGCAAGCCUGAUGCAGCCAUGCCGCGUGUAUGAAGAAGGCCUUCGGGUUGUAAAGUACUUUCAGCGGGGAGGAAGGGAGUAAAGUUAAUACCUUUGCUCAUUGACGUUACCCGCAGAAGAAGCACCGGCUAACUCCGUG